rnacentral:lncRNA from 1 species
AACAUUUAAAAAGGUGAUGAAGAUCUGCUUGCAAGCGAUCACUUACUUCAAGAAAUAAAGUAGCCUUUCUAAGUAAAACCUUAUCCUCCAAAUUUAUCUCUUCAAAAUCUGUUCCUUUUAAUAGUCGCCACUGAACAUCAGCUUCACCAUCAUCGGGUAGAUUUCUCUCCUCAGGAUUCCUUUUCAGUAUACUCAUUAAUGACUCAGGGAUAAGUUUUGGUCCAUUAUUAACUAAGUCUUGUAAAGCAGCAUGAAUUGUCUCACAAUCUCUUUCACAAAACCACUUGUUCUUCACGACUUCCUGUAUCAAAAGAUGUGCCAAAAAUAUGAACGUGUAAUAUAUCAAGCAUUGUUUGUGAUUUUUAUGUGUGAGUCGAAUUCACCAAAAAACCAAGUGGGGUCUGCUUGUCACCUUUAUGUCACAUGAUCCAGGGUCCUCUAAACAACCAAUAUGA